rnacentral:lncRNA from 1 species
CCAGGGGGGUCCUGGAAGCCCUGCAGCUCCCGCAGGCCCUGCGUUAACGAAGGAACAAAGGGUUAAGGGAGAAAAAAGGUUUAACGAGGGCAGGGCUCGUUAACGUCGAGCUCGUUAAUGAGCGGAAGGGUUAAUGAGGGGGGGGCGGGGCUUACCUCCAGCACCAGGCGGAUGUGGGCGCGGAUCUGGGCGCCGUCCCGCGUAAGGGAUUCGCUGAGCCUGCGGGAGGGGGCGGGGCUUAGGGGAGAGUGGGAGGGGCCAAGAAAUGGGGGCGUGGCCUGGGAUAGGGGGCGUGGCCCAGAAAGGGGGCGUGGCCUGAAGCGGGGGGCGUGGCCUAUUGGCCUCCAGGUGGUGCCAUUGGGGGAUAAUAGAGGGGGCGGAGCCUAUCUAAAGGGGCGGGGCUUCAAGAAGGGGCGUGGUCACACGAAAGGGGGCGUGGCUUGAUGAGGGGGCGGGGCUUAUUGCCAUCCAUAGGCCAUCACAUGGGUUCUAUCGGGGGCGGAGCCUAACUAAAGGGGAGGGGCUUCAAGAAGGGGGCGCGGUCACACAAAAGGGGGCGUGGUCUAUGAAAAGGGGGCGUGGCCUGAUGUGGGGGCGUGGCCUGUUGGCUGCCAGGUGGCAUCGUGGGGGGAUAAUGAAGGGGGCGGAGCCUAUCUGAAGGGGUGGGGCUUCAAGAAGGGGCGUGGUCAUGCAAGGGGGGCAUGGCUUGAUGGGGGCGUGGCUUAUUGCCAUCCAUGGGGCAUCAAGUAGGCGCUAUUGGGGGCGGAGCCUAACUAAAGGGGAGGGGCUUCAAGAAGGGGCGUGGUCACACAAAAGGGGGCGUGGUUUGAGAAAGGGGGUGUGGCCUGACAUGGGGGCGGGGCUUACUGGCCUCCCCAGGGCUUCAUUGGUGGAUGAUACUGGGGGGUGGAGCCAAAAGAAGGGGAGGGGCUUCAAGAAGGGGCGUGGCCUGGUCGUGUGGGCGUGGCCUAUUCUGUAACCCCUCCCCCUUCUGUUUUCUAUUGAGUUUCAAUGGUGGAGAGCGGUGGGUGGGCGGAGCCAAGNGUUUACUCCUGGUUUACACACCCAGUUUAGUCCAGGUUCACACACUCUUUACACCCGCUUUACUCCGUAUUUACUCACACUUUACCCCACGUUCACGCAGCCUUUCCUCUGGAUUUACACCCGCUUUACUCCAGGUUUACUCCUGGUUUACACCCACUUUACCCCAGGUUCACACACUCUUUACACCCCCUUUACUCCACAUUUACUCACACUUUACCCCACGUUCACGCACCCUUUCCUCUGGAUUUAUGCCCACUUUACUCCAGGUUUACUCCAGGUUUACACGCCCUUUCCUCUGGAUUUACACCCACUUUACUCCAGAUUCACACCCUUUACUCAAUGCUUACACCCCCUUUAUUCCAGGUUUACUCACACUUUACCUCAGGUUUACUCACAAUUCACUCCAUGUUUACUCACACUUUAUUCCAGCUUCACACUCCCCUUCCUCCUGACUUUCAUCUGCUUGAUGCACGGUUUACACCAGGUUUACACACUCAUUACUCCAGAUUUCCUCACACUUUACUCCAGAUUCGUGCCCAUUUUACUCCACAUUUUUCCACUUCCAACCCAUUUCCUCUCCCAAUCACAGGUUUACACCCUUUACUCAAUGCUCACACCUCCUCUACUCCAG